rnacentral:lncRNA from 1 species
AAUAUGAGCUAACUGCCAUGAUAGGAAACUGCCCUUCACAGAUGGGCACUAUACAGCAGCCAGUCCCGUGAUGUUUAGACAUAUUUCUAUACUUUUCUUCUCUCUUCCAUUCAAUGAAAGGAACGGUUGGACAGAAAAAUGAACUAUGAUUUAAUGCCAGUUUACAGUGGGAGUUAUUUGUCUUAUUUUUCCCUGUGCCAGAAGGAAAAUGUGUCAGUUCUACAAUUGGACAAGGUCAUACCUUAUUAUCAUGGAUCUGUGAACAACUGUUUUAGACUCAAGAAGCCAUUCUUUUUUAGGACUGCAGAAGUCAGACUCAAGUUUUGCCAAAAACUUGGUAGGUAUGUUUUACAUCUCACCAUUCAAAUCAAACAUCGCAGCAAAUAGAAGCCAUGCUAUGGAGAGGCAGCCAAAGACUAACUGUAUAAAUCCUACUUUUGGGGAAUAUCAUUAGAAGGCAGCACACUUCCAUGCUACCCUUUUGUAGAGAACACACAGAAUGUUGAAACCAUUCUUUUAAUUCCAUUGGUCAUCUGUCAAAGUCCUCACACUUCUUUCAAGAUGAAAAAAUGUCUCAUCUUUAUGAUGUUCAUUCCCUUUAGAAUGUGGCUACACAAAUAUCACACUUACUAAGAAGUUAGAGAAGCAAAAGGAAUGGGUAAGAAAUAACUGAGUACAUUCAUCAACAAAAACUUUGACAAGCACAAUACUUGUGGUAAUAAGUGAAGUCUAAAUAAAUAGACAUAUAUUGCGAUAUAAUGAUGAUAU